ensembl:lncRNA
AUUGAAGGAAGAGAGUGGCAGCCCAUCUGUCCUUGCUUAAAUAAUAGGUAAGUUUAUUACUGGUGGUGGAUGGAAUGGUGUAGCCACAUAGCUCUGGAAAUGAAAGAGUAAUGCUGAUCAAAUAAUCAUGCCAAAGUCAGGUUUUACCUACUAGGAGUAAUUCUGUAUGAAUAAAAACCAACUUGGAGCUGGGUUUUAGCCUUCUGCAACAGCGUAGUCACAACAAUAAACCUAAUAAGUAAUGGGAACAUAGGGACAGUGCUUGUUAGUUAUAAAUAAUUCAUUAUCAGCAAUGGGAAGCCUGUGGUAGCAGCAGGAGCCCAAGGUUGGUUCCCUGCAGGUACCUGGCAAAUGAAAUGUGGUAGGCACACACCAUGUUUCCUCUCCUCACCAGGCUUCAGUGAGAGGUAUAAACUACUGAAACAGAACUGGGGAACUGCUUGCUGAAGGGAUUAUAAAGACUUCCUUCUACCCAUUUAUCCCUUGUUUGUCAGUAACUCACAGGUAUUUUUCUGGAACAUGGUCAUGUUCAGGAGCAACGUGAACUUCCAUUCAGUUCAGCAUUAAAUUGAAAAUGGGUCCUUGCAAGCUCUUCUUCUCUACCUGUGGAAAUAAAGUUCUGAACCGUACCUUCUGUACCUUCUGCCUAAAACCAGGAAGACAGUUUUGGACAAGUACUAUGCAUAUGCAUGGCCCAACACUUCUACCUUGCUCCCUAUCACUGCAGGAGGAUUGGGAUAAUUCUUCUGUUUGCACCAGAUCAGAGGCAAACAUGUGAGUGCUUAGAAGAAAAUACUCCUGAACACAAGCCGUUGUUGAAGUUUACCUCUGAUGACAUCUUUGGGAAACACACUGAAACACCCCAUAGGAACAAGGAAUGCAUAAAGCCUGCAAGCUCUUUAACAGGUGGAAAAGUCAUUCUGUGACAGCUAAGAGAUGAAAUCAAAGAAAGGAGACCUAGUUCAACAGACAUGAGCUUUCUGAAUGAAGGCAACCGAAAGAUCAAGAGAAUCAAGAAAAUAAUAUGAGUGAUCAGCAAGCUGGUGAGGCACACACCAAAAGUCAGCUUCAGGUGUGCUUCCAUCAGCUGCUUGCUCUGAGAAAACAUCACUUCAACUGCAUUUUUUGCACCUGCAAGCUGGUUAUCUGGACUAGCCUGAUACUUAACAUGUACUCUGAGAGUUUGCUCUCCUUUUUCUGAUGCUCUGUUGAUGCCUGGCCUUGGUGCUUGGGCUUAGGGCCCUGCAUGAUUUAAUUGCACAUUACAACAAAGAUUUUUGAUUUAUACUUUCUAACUGCAUUCUCUCUUACAUUUCAAAGUGCUUGAAACAUUAUGAUUCUCUAUAAAAGUCCUUGCCCAGAUAUGCUUUUUCAGAGACUCAUCUUCUCACACCAUGUUUUUCUAAGAGUUUUUUUAUUUUGGUGGUUACUGCCCUGACAGAUGGAAUUCUUGACUCUUCCAUUUGAGUCUGGUAAGUAGUCUAAAAAAAGUUAGCUGGCCUUGCUGUCACUUGAGAGGUUGGGACUUCAUUUCUUUCUUUAUUUACAAACAACCCAGAACAUUAUUGGUAUCUAUAGUGAAGAUGGAAAUAUUGCCAUUGGAUCUAAACUGAGGUUCAGGGGGGACCACUGUUUUAAAAGUAGUGAAUUUAGAAGACAAAUGUAAACUUUCUUAGUGUGAUGAAACAUAAUGCAUUUAUUUGAAGUAUGUUUCAAAAAAAUGAGACUUGAAUGAGCUUUGAACUUAGUAUAUGAGUUGACUUUUCAUCUCUGACUUUGACUUGAAUAGCUGUCAAAAUACUAUUAAUUAUGAUACUAUUUUAAUUUUUUUAGAAAUUCUUUGUACAGUGCCUUGACGAAGAUCAUAACAUAAAUUUGGGCAGUUGUAAAACUCUUCCUUCUCUUUCUAAGCAUUUACUCUUGGAACAAAUCCUGCUGAAGUCCCUGGGAGUAAAGGACAAUCUGGGAGAGUUGCUAAUCUUAUUCUUACAAGAGCUGUGUCUUGCCUGCUAUCCUGCUUGGUGUCUGUCAGGCUCACGAUGGAAAUAAAUUAUCCUUUGUCAAUGUCUUGUUGGUAGAU